ACACUGCUGAGGAGUCCCACAAUAGGACGAAAUGGCCGUCCAGUGC
rfam:Schistosoma mattheei strain Denwood, Zambia genome assembly, scaffold: SMTD_scaffold0006772